GUGCUCUUGACUAUAGUAUUUAAAAAAAACAAAACCUCAUAGUUUAAGAAAUACCAUUGGAAGGGGCUUAGGCUUUUGGUACUUCUAUACCACCCCCCCCCCCCCCCCCCCCCAAACAUGUUUGUGUGUGUAUGUGUCUGUAUCAUCACUAUGUAUGCUCUUCACUAGUAGCAGAUUUAACAACAGUAGGAAAUGAGAUGCAAAGCUCCGAGUUCAACCAAGCUCUAAUUUUUUGAGUACGAGCUCGACUUGAAUAAAGAUUU